rnacentral:rRNA from 1 species
UACGUAGGGUGCAAGCGUUGUCCGGAAUUAUUGGGCGUAAAGAGCUCGUAGGCGGUUCGUCGCGUCGGCUGUGAAAUCCCGAGGCUCAACCUCGGGUCUGCAGUCGAUACGGGCGGACUGGAGUUCGGCAGGGGAGACUGGAAUUCUUGGUGUAGCGGUGAAAUGCGUAGAUAUCAAGAGGAACACCUGAGGUGAAGACGGGUUGCUGGGCUGACACUGACGCUGAGGCGCGAAAGCCAGGGGAGCAAACGGG